AGUGCACAUGCCUGCUGGUUAAAGAGCAACUGAAUACUAAACUCCAUUUGAUAUUUUUCUCAACGAUCCACCAUUCCUGUUCCAGGAACUGAGAAGCAAGUGCCUACUCCCACACUGAUAUCCUGUCCUCAAGCUGUUCAGCCAGCCUGAGCCUUCGUGCUGGCCUCUUGCCAUGCCUUUCCUCUAGCCGGCUUGUCUUCACAGUGCCUUAGUCUUCACUGGCAAGGAUGUAAAUUCUGAUGUUCACCAGCAUGUCGGACAUUGC